CAGUAGCCGCGGUAAAACAGAGGCCUCAAGCGUUGUUCGGAUUCAUUGGGCGUAAAGGGUGCGUAGGUGGCUUGGUAAGUUGAAGGUGAAAUCUCGGGGCUUAACCCCGAAACUGCCUUCAAUACUGCUAGGCUUGAGGACUGUAGAGGAGAAUGGAAUUCACGGUGUAGCAGUGAAAUGCGUAGAUAUCGUGAGGAAGACCAGUGGCGAAGGCGAUUCUCUGGGCAGUUCCUGACACUGAGGCACGAAGGCCAGGGGAGCAAACGGGAUUAGAUACCCGCGUAGUCCCUGUCUCUUAUAC
rnacentral:rRNA from 1 species